GUUUACUACGUGAUUAUUUGCAUAUAGGGCGGGGAAGUGAGAUCUGAUCACAAGUGGUCACUGGAGACACAUGUGGAGACGCAUUCUAAUGUCAGGUCUGAACAGGGUCUAACAGCUGACCCUCACAUCAGCUGUUAGAAAUCUCUUUACCUCAAACUACCUGAGAAAACACUACUGCAAGAACUUGAAUGGUUAUUCAGCCAGGCGUAUUUAAAACGAGCGUGUAGUUUCUACCUCUAAAGUGUAUAAAAAGUGAAAUAAAUGUUCUUAUUUUGCUUUUAAUUCUUAACUAGGGAUUAUUACACACACAGUAUCUGCAUAUUUAGUUGGAGUGAGUUCAGUUGCCAAAAAACAAUCAAAUUUUAAUAAGUAAAAUAAUAUUUGAAUCAUCCUUAAAAAAAACUUCUAAUAUUUAUGUAACUUUACGACACAAUCGUCUUCAUGUCAGUAAUUAAACGCCCCAGAAACAUUACAGAGGACAUGACCUCAGCGUCCUCAGUGUUGACUAUGGCCCUGAAUACGAGCUCAGCAGUAGUUAUGUUCAUGUGCUCAAAACCUUUUGUUCAUAUUAGAUAUUUUGUCAAUUCUGUGAGUGGAAAUGUGUCUCUUGGUUAAGUGACAUACUGUGUCGUCAGGUACAGCCAGUAGAUGGCAGCACACACUUUAAUUAACUGUACUUUGAGCAUGCUGUAGCAAGCACAGGCUUCACAUCCUCCCUCCUGUCACUCCCAACACACCACAUCUGUCUGUGGCCCAUAACCAUAAGUGGAAAGCACUGUUAGAUUAAUCUAAACCAAGUCUCGAUAAUGAAUCGCUGUUGAACGUCUACUCCCAGGGCCUGAGGCUGAUUUAAUUUAACUGCCCAACCUGACAAUAGUUUUUCAUAGUAUCACCAGGUUCCUAAUCAUGACAGAUUGGUUCAGUUCUCUAUGUAUAAAACUAAAAACUAGAGGGCAAAAAUGCUGCUCGGGGGUUGUAAAUUCCUCUCGCAGCAUCAUCCUUUUGUUCUAGUUGUCAAAUUCAUCUCUAUAUCGUUUGUCCACAGGUGGAUUUGAUAAAUAAAAAGAUUUGAUCCAAUAUCUCACAUGGUUCUUUCUCUCUCUAUCUCACCAGCCCUUGUUCUUUUUACAGUAACAGGGACAUUUCUCACUAAACUCAAAUUACAGGUUUGUUAAUUGACUCAGAAGUUAGAUUACAGUGUGCAGUAUGUGAGUGAUUAAACGCUUCUCCUACAACAUUA